CCUACGGGAGGCAGCAGUGGGGAAUUUUCCGCAAUGGGCGAAAGCCUGACGGAGCAACGCCGCGUGAGGGAUGAAGGCCUCUGGGCUGUAAACCUCUUUUAUCAAGGAAGAAGAUCUGACGGUACUUGAUGAAUAAGCCACGGCUAAUUCCGUGCCAGCAGCCGCGGUAAUACGGGAGUGGCAAGCGUUAUCCGGAAUUAUUGGGCGUAAAGCGUCCGCAGGCGGUCUUGUAAGUCUGUCGUUAAAGCGUGGAGCUUAACUCCAUUUCGGCGGUGGAAACUACAAGACUAGAGUGUGGUAGGGGCAGAGGGAAUUCCCGGUGUAGCGGUGAAAUGCGUAGAUAUCGGGAAGAACACCAGUGGCGAAGGCGCUCUGCUGGGCCAUAACUGACGCUCAUGGACGAAAGCUAGGGGAGCGAAAGGGAUUAGAUACCCCUGUAGUCCUAGCCGUAAACGAUGAACACUAGGUGUCGGGGGAAUCGACCCCUCGGUGUCGUAGCUAACGCGUUAAGUGUUCCGCCUGGGGAGUACGCACGCAAGUGUGAAACUCAAAGGAAUUGACGG
rnacentral:rRNA from 1 species